GUGGGGAAUCUUCCGCAAUGGGCGAAAGCCUGACGGAGCAACGCCGCGUGAGUGAAGAAGGCCUUCGGGUCGUAAAGCUCUGUCUUUAGGGACGAACAACUGUGGUGUAAAUAAUGCCAUGGUCUGACGGUACCUAAGGAGGAAGCUCCGGCUAACUACGUGCCAGCAGCCGCGGUAAUACGUAGGGAGCGAGCGUUGUCCGGAAUUACUGGGCGUAAAGGGCGCGUAGGCGGGAACUCAAGUCAGGUGUGAAAACUAUGGGCUUAACCCAUAGACUGCACUUGAAACUGGGUUUCUUGAGGGCAGGAGAGGAAAGUGGAAUUCCUAGUGUAGCGGUGAAAUGCGUAGAUAUUAGGAGGAACACCAGUGGCGAAGGCGACUUUCUGGACUGUACCUGACGCUGAGGCGCGAAAGCGUGGGGAGCGAACAGGAUUAGAAACCCGUGUAGUCC
rnacentral:rRNA from 1 species